AUUGAACGCUGGCGGCAGGCUUAACACAUGCAAGUCGAGCGGGGUGAUGGUGCUUGCACUAUCACUAGCGGCGGACGGGUGAGUAAUGCUUAGGAAUCUGCCUAUUAGUGGGGGACAACAUCUCGAAAGGGAUGCUAAUACCGCAUACGUCCUACGGGAGAAAGCAGGGGAUCACUUGUGACCUUGCGCUAAUAGAUGAGCCUAAGUCGGAUUAGCUAGUUGGUGGGGUAAAGGCCUACCAAGGCGACGAUCUGUAGCGGGUCUGAGAGGAUGAUCCGCCACACUGGGACUGAGACACGGCCCAGACUCCUGCGGGAGGCAGCAGUGGGGAAUAUUGGGCAAUGGGGGGAACCCUGAUCAAGCCAUGCCGCGUGUGUGAAGAAGGCCUUAUGGUUGUAAAGCACUUUAAGCGAGGAGGAGGCUCUUUUGGUUAAUACCCAAGAUGAGUGGACGUUACUCGCAGAAUAAGCACCGGCUAACUCUGUGCCAGCCGCCGCAGUAA
rnacentral:rRNA from 1 species